rnacentral:rRNA from 1 species
UACGGGAGGGGCAAGCGUUGUUCGGAAUUACUGGGCGUAAAGGGCGCGUAGGCGGCCUGCUAAGUUGGACGUGAAAUCCCUCGGCUCAACCGGGGAACUGCGUCCGAUACUGGCGAGGCUUGAAUCCGGGAGAGGGAUGUGGAAUUCCAGGUGUAGCGGUGAAAUGCGUAGAUAUCAGGAGGAACACCGGUGGUGUAGACGGCUUUCUGGACCGUAACUGACGCUGAGACACGAAAGCGUGGGUAGCAAACAGG